rnacentral:rRNA from 1 species
AUACGUAGGUGACAAGCGUUAUCCGGAUUUACUGGGCGUAAAGGGCGUGUAGGCGGUCUUGCAAGUCAGAAGUGAAAUUCCUGAGCUCAACUCGGGCGCUGCUUCUGAAACUGCAGGACUUGAGUGCUGGAGGGGAUAGCGGAAUUCCUAGUGGAGCGGUAAAAUGCGCAGAUAUUAGGAAGAACACCGGUGGCGAAGGCGGCUAUCUGGACAGUAACUGACGCUGAGGCGCGAAAGCGUGGGGAGCAAACAGGAUUAGAUACCCUGGUAGUCCACGCCGUAAACGAUGGGCGCUCGUCGUCGGCGGCAGACAGUCGGCGGCCAAGCGAAAGCGAUAAGCGCCCCACCUGGGGAGUACGGUCGCAAGGCUGAAACUCAAAUGAAUUGGCGGGG